GCACAUCAAUCAUUACACACACAUGGAUUAAUAAAUUAGGUGACAGAUUCACAAACCACAAUCACACCCAGAAAAGGGCAUCGCAACAAACUAGGGCAGUUGAAAAAAGAUAGAUUUGAAAUGUGAUCCUGCUGGUUUCUAUUCUGUCCUGUUUGUCAUGAAUACUAAGGGGUUGGUUCUAAAAUACCCUCUCAUGAGACUGGGCCUUGGUUUAGCAUCACAGCCCAAAGAUAGGAGCACAGGAAAUAAACACCCAUGUGAGUUUACUGUCUGAGGAGGAACUAAAGUAUAUUAGACCAGGCUGAGACCCAACCUUAUACUGAACCUACCUGACAAUAUGUUAGACCAGGCUGAGACCCAACCUUAUACUGAACCUACCUAUAUGUUAGUACAUGUAUUACUUCACUAGAUCACUUUAUAACAACAUACAUGACAGGAACAAUGCACGCUACUAUAAUGAGCAUGUCUAUAACAGUACAGGAUGUCGCCAAAAGGCUGGCUCUCAUUUGUAUUCCUGGGCACCCUGGCAACUCAGAAACAUUGAACAUAGAUAGGCACUGCAGGUUGGGGUUUGGUUGUUCUAGUUGGCUUGAGAAUGGAUAUGUUUAGCCAGCUGGUGUGUGGGUAUUGCUGUUGAUCAAGUAGGUGUAGUUUUGUAUUGGAGGCAAGGGGGCUGCUGUGUUUAAUCUAACCCUGGGCUGAACGUAAAACCUCUCCAUAGUUGAGGUGCCAGGCAUACUUUCCCCUGAGUCCACCUCUGGACCACUAGCCCCACAGCAAUACAAUAACCCCCUGAACUCUAGGAUGACAGAGUGAGAAGGAGAGAGAGAGAGAGAGAUAGAGAUAGAGAGGGGUGGGGAGAGAGGGAUGACAGAGAGAUUGGGAGAAAGAGAGGUGUGGGGAGAGAGAAAGGGGUAGAGAGAUGGGAGUAUUAGAGAGAGAGAUAAGAGAGGGGGGGAGGGAGGAGAGAGAGAUGAGAGAGAGAGUUGCUUUGGCAAUGUUAACACAUGUUUCCCAUGCCAAUAAAGCCCCUUGAAUUGAAUUGAAUUGAGAGAGAGAGAGAGACACACAGAGACACACACACACAGAGAGAUAGAGAGAGAGAGAACAUCCAAGAGAUCAUCUGACAUACAGUAUGCCUGAGUUUACUGUAAUACAUGGAGAAAAGAGCACAGCUAUCUGGCUCAUGUUUCCGUCUCAUGUUGUGUCAGAUAGUGAUAGUGGUUCACUGUUCUCUAACACUAUGUGUGUGACUUCUCCCCCAUGUCUGCCUGGUGAUAUCUAUGUGUAUUUAUAACGUGUCAUAAAAUAAUGUAGGCCAGUUUACUGUAGGAUAAUCUGACAAACCAUGGCAACCAAACCAACCGCUGUCUAUGUACUGAGGCCUCUGAUCCAGAAUACAACUAUAGCUGGAGAGGACAGCUAGGAGUGUAGGAUGACAUCACUGCUUAUACUUAAGUGAUGAUCUAGGAUCAGUUUUGCCACUUGCAUCUGUAUUUCUAAGUCUGUUGCUGAUGGAGAGUAAACUGAUUCUAGGCCUGUGGUUAGAGACAGAGUCUGCCCACUUCUCCAGGGGAAUGAGGUCUCUCUGCCCCAUGACAUAAUGUCACUACUAUAAUCCCUCAGUCACUGUGUGCAUUCCAAAUGGCUCCAUGUUCCAGGGCUCUGGUCAAAUGUAGUUUACUAUAUAAGGAAUAGGAUGCCUUUUCGUACUAAACCCACUGUCAUUAUGUUGCCUUGAAUGAGACCAGCUCUCAAGGAGUUUCUACUGGCUGUCAGUAAGAGGAUAGUAAUCAACUGCUUUAUUGGGAUAGUCCCAGAGGGCACACUGACUGUCCCCAACAUGACAAAACAGGCAGACCAGACACACACACACACACACCCACGCACGCUCGCUCGCACGUGCACACACACACACACACACACACGCGCUCGCACACACGCGCGCACACACACACACACACACACACGCGCGCGCCGGCGCCCUUGCACGCACGCACGCACGCACACACACACACACACGCGCACACCCUCGCACGCACACACGCGCACACACACACACACCCACACACACACACACACACACACACCCACGCAUGCUCGCUCGCACGCACACACGCGCACACACACACACACACACCCACCCACGCACGCACGCUCACACACAGACACACACACACCUUGUUAAACAUUCUCUCUAGCUACUAGCAGAACCUUCUCCAUCUCAGUAAAAUCUCUCACUGGCCACAACAUACACAUCAAAACAAAAAUACCCAAGAAAGGUUAUGAGGGGUAUUAUUAAAUCGAGUUUCCAUGCAAAGCAGCAAUAGACAGCUAAACAUGUACACAGACACACGCACACACACACUCACAACAUCUUGUAAAACCAAACAUUCCAGAAGUCUAGUAGGCCUUGUAGCCAUUUUGUAUCCCUCUCUUCUCCCUUUCCUCUCCCCUCUCCUCCUCUUCCCUCUCUUCCUCUCCCCUCUUUCUUCCUCUUCCCUCUCUUCCUCUCCCCUCUCUCCUCCUCUCCCCUAUCUUCCAUUUCCUCUCCCCUCUCUCUUCCUCUCCCCUCUCUUCCAUAUCCCCCCUCUUCCCUCUCUCCCCUCUCUAUCCCCUCUGUCCCCUCACUCUGGGCCCCAGGGAGCUAAACUAACCCUACCAUCUCCUCCUGAUAGUGUGGGUCUAUAUAUAACCCAGGACCCUGUGACUGAGCUGGCUCGAAGUGUCAGAUUCCAGAGGCAUCCAUCCUGGCUGGAACAGCACCUGCUGCUAACCAUAACUCCCCUCCUCUCCCCUCCCCUCCCCUCCUCUCCUCCCUCCCUCCCUCCCUUCGUCUCCCCUCCCCCUCCGCUCCACUGGAAUCAGACAGGGUAGCUGCUUCCAAACCAAAACCCCCAAACUCCCAAACCCAACCCCUGCCUGUUGGAAAGCCCUUAUCCUGGAGCUGGCUCAGAGGGGUGGGGCCGAGAGAGUGGUGGCUCUCCUGUUGCACUUUCCAUAAGUGUCUCUUUUUAUAAUUAAGCCAGAGUCUAUGAGUCUAUGAGUCUAUGAGUCUGUGCACAGACCAGCUCAGGCUGAGCUGCACUGUAGUAGGCUGUACUGGGCUGGACUGGGCUGGACUGGGCUGUACCGGGUUAAGGUAGAGCACAGUAUUGCAGCAGCAGAAACAGCAGCUCUGUAAUGGGAUGAAAGUGGAGGUGGUAGUAUAUUGCAUGAUUUGCUGGACUGACUGGACUGACUGGACUGACUGGACUGACUGGACUGUGGAAUAGAGGCAGUGGAUUGAAUGAGGGGUGUUAUUCCAACACAGAAGAACUCAAUACCCUAGGAAGGGAGAACCCCAGACAUUUCCAGGCGAAGGUACAGUAGCGACCCCUCUGACUUUCUCUGAAAUACCUCUCUGGCUCACAUACUGAGAGGGAGCUAGCUGAAUGCAGCCACAAGGCAUGGCAAUGUGGAGAAAAUAGAUACAAGGUCUGUAUGAAACUGAGCAAGAACGUUUAUGUACCGCUCUCUUUUAGGAUGUAGCCUAUUAUUACGCUUCAGUGUCUGUAACUCUUGAUUACUUUACAAAAUUCUUGCAGAAAUAUGUCAAUGUGACAGAGCUGCUAUGCUAGCUGUUAGCAGAGCACACUCCUGAAUUAACUUUUAUGUUUGAACAAUGCUAAUUGCUAAGUCCUAAUGCUAAAAUCACUAAAUGACAAUGUUAUUACCCUGUGAUGAAUCAGUCAUUAUUCGCUAUUUUCUACUAAAGUAAGGCAUUACUUCAGAAUGUGUAGGCUAUUCCAACUGAUACAGAUACCCAUAUACCUAUACCUAUGUCCAACCAGACACCUAUGUCUGCAUGCCUGAGACACAUGGCUGAGAUAGCGCACUGGUUAGCUGGUAUGUUAUUGUGAUAUUUUAAUGUUUAGGGCCUCAUUGGCUUCAUGGAAUGAUAUGAUUAAGAAGGCAAAAUGAAUUCAAAUGAUGUUAUGAAUGUUUUGAUGUGUAUCCUCUUAAUUAAACAUUAACCUGAAUAACAACCUGUAACACUGGUCAGGUGUGGUGACACAAAAAUAUUAACGCUCAGAUAGGAAUAUUAUCAUUAGUAGUAAGUCUAUUUUUUGUGUCUCUGCCUUGCUCUUAGUCCAGGUACGGACCCCCCCCCCCCUACACACACACACACACACACACACACCACAAGAGAAACCGGCCGGUCCCCUGUGAGCCCUGAGUGGCAUAGCGAUGGACAGCUGGACCCUCCAGGGGGACAGCUACUCAUUCCUCCGCAGCUCCCUGCGCCACCGCGACGGAACCCCAAACCACGUGGAGAUCUUCGACAUCACCAACAUCCCCAGCCACCGCUCAGCCAUCUCUGAGACCACCUGCCUCUGUGACAUCUUCGGGGACGACUGCGAGUCGCGGCCUCCUUCACUCUCCAGCAGCCCCGCGGCAGGGGCCUUCGUCAACACUCCCUUUCCCCCUCCCGUAGGAGCAGGGGAGAGCUCAGAGUCGCCCCAAGUGUCACCCCCUGUGGUAGAUGAGCUGAACGACUCGACAAGUUCCUACCACACAGUGCCAGAGAACUUUGAGGACUCUAGAGAGAAGCUCAGUCCUCCAACGCAGAGGGAGAAUAAUUAUCAUUUAUCUGAAGGCUGGAAGUCAGGACCUUUAGCUACUGCAGGAAACAACACAGCAUCAUCUGGGACGUCUAGGGACGUCAGCACAAGAUUAGAACAAGGAAACACAGCUCCAACACCUGGACGGAGGACAGCUGACUCCUCACCUGAGGAACCUAGCCUUACCUGUGGAGACAGAAAGCCCUCACCUGGCUACAGUAAUACUACAACACCUUCACCUGGCUACAGUAAUACUACAACACCUUCACCUGGCUACAGUAAUACUACAACACCUUCACCUGGCUACAGUAAUACUACAACACCUUCACCUGACGGUAAAGGUUCAGCUCCAUCGGUGGGCCAGCGUUCACCUGCCCCCUCACCACAGUGUAGGGAAACCCACCUGACACCUGAACCAGAGAAUAGAUACUCCAGCCCCUCAUCUGAAUCCGUGGUCCCUGUGCAUCCUAUUGAGGCCAGAGACAGAGCCUCCUCACCUGGAGUCAGAGGCACAGCCUCCUCACCUGACGAUACAAGUCUGUCUUUACCUGAGACCAGAGUAGCUCAGUGUUUACCUGAACUAAGGGACAUCAGCCACUCACCUGAGUUAAUAGCCAACCCUUUUUCACCUGAUUACAUAGUGUCAUUUCAACCUAGGGAUAGAGCCAUAACACCUGAGUCUAAACCUUCAUCCCUUUCAUCCCCACCUACGAUUAGAGGUACAGGUAUCUCCCCUCAGCUAGGAAGCCUCACCUCAGCAUUACCUAAGCUAAAGAAUAGAGAUUAUUCACCUGAGUUUAGGAAUAAAGCAUACUCACUGGACAAUCAAUGGAGAGUGUCCUUACCUGACCUGUUCAGCAGAACCUCCACACCUGAGUUAGAGAACUCCGUUAGUACACCUGAGUUAGAGAACUCCGUCAGUACACCUGAGUUAGAGAACUCCGUCAGUACACCUGAGUUAGAGAACUCCGUCGGUACACCUGAGUUAGAGAACUCUGUCGGUACACCUGAGUUAGAGGACUCUGUCAGUACACCUGAACUCAUACCUCACCUGUCCCCUUCAGAGAGAGACCUGAGCUCCUCAGAGGAAGCCAGGAGCACCAUCUCAACACCUGCCCCAAGGUACACCCCUCCUACACCUGUCACCUCCUCACCUGAGCUCAGGUCUACCAGUACCACACCUGGACUCAGAUCAGCCAGCAUCACACUUGAAUUGAGAUCAACCAGUGUAAAACGUGAACUCAGUCUCCUCUGUGUCCCAACUGAACUCAGGUCAACCAGUGUCACAACUGAAGUCAGUUUAGCCAGUAUCCCACAAAGUGCUGAACUACUCAGGUCAACGAGUCUCACACCUGAAUUCAGAUCAGAUUCAUCCUCCUCAACUAGCUCAUACCACUCAGGUUCCUCCUUAUCCUCAGACACCUGGACAAGAACGUCCUCGAGAACCCCCUCACCUGAAACAAGGUACUAUAGUACCCCAUCAAGAACCCCCUCACCUAGAACACGCUAUAAUAGAACCCCAUCAAGAACCACCUCACCUGAAACACGUUACAAUAGAACACCAUCAAGAACCACCUCACCUGAAACACCUUACAAUAGAACCCCAUCAAGAACCCCCUCACCUGAAACACGUUACAAUAGAACCCUAUCAAGAACCACCUCACCUGAAACACGUUACAAUAGAACCCCAUCAAGAACCCCCUCACCUGAAACACGCUAUAAUAAAACCCCAUCAAGAACACCCUCACCUGAAACACGUUACAAUAAAACCCUAUCAAGAACCCCCCCACCUGAAGUAAGGUACACCAGCCCUCCUAUAAAACCCAGGAGCACAGCGCAAUCACCUGAGAUCAGAAUCACAUCCUCCACACCAGAGAUCAAGAAAAGAGACCUCACACCUGAGGUACCUGGAGAGGUAAAGGCCAAGUCCCUGGACCCUCGGUUCAACUCCUCCUCCCCCCAGGUCUCAGGUAUCACCUACUCCAUCCUCUCCCCAGAAGCCAGGGUGCUGGUGUCAACACCUGAGAUCAACGAUCUCCUCUCCUCAGCUGAGCCACGAGGCAGAACACACCUGUCACCUGAGAGGAAGAGCACCACCCAUACCGAAGAGAACAGACGGAACAGUCUCUCACCUGACUCUAUAGGUAGAGGCUCCUCACCUGGAAGCAGAGGUAGCAACUCCUCACCUGAGAUUACAGGGAUAUACAGCUCUACCGUACAUCCUCCCGAGACUAGAGAAAGAGCUGAAUCACCUGAGCCACCCAGAUAUAAAAACCUCUCACCUGAGUAUAAAGCCCCCUCACCUCCUAAGAGUCAAACUGUCUCACCUUAUCCAACAUAUAAAACCCCCUCACCUCUGCCCGGGUACACAGUCCCCUCACCUGGAGUGGAAACUGCUCGCUCCUCAUCUGAUCUAAACACUUCAGCCCCCUCACCUGGAGUAAAGAGUCCUGGCCCCUCACCUGAACGCAGGGCUUCACCUGGAGCAAAGAAUCCUGCCCACUCACCUGAACGCAGGGCUUCAUCUGGCUCACCUGAGAGGUGUAUUGGUAGCCUAUCAGAGCGACUCAUCACUAACGGCACCUCAAACCCCUUGGGUAAUCAUCUUUCUCACGACUCCAGGGAAGCAUCACCUACUGAAGAGAGUAGAGAGACCACCUCUUCACCUGUACUAGGAGAAGUUCCAGUCCCCUACAACUUCUCUUCCCACACACCUGAGAUCCUAAACUUCACACCUGAGAUCCUAAACUUCACACCUGAGAUCCUAAACUUCACACCUGAGAUCCCUAACUUCACACCUGAGAUCAUAAAAUUCACACCUGAGAUCCCUAACUUCACACCUGAGAUCCUAAACUUCACACCUGAGAUCCUAAACUUCACACCUGAAACCAGACACAUCCCACCUGAUCCCACUGCUUCUUCAAGAGGAAGGAGCCCCUCCCUUUCACCUGACCACGGGGUUACAGGUAACUCACCUGUCCAGAGACUGGAAGAUCUGGAGCAUAAACAUCCAGCCUCAUCUCUAACCCCUGACCUUAGUGACAGCAACAACCCCUCACACAAGUCUCCUACACCUGAGCAUCCAUGUAGAGAAAUCUCACCCAACCCUAGGAAUAAAACCAUAGAUAGGCUAACUGAAGAAGACAUGGCUCAUCGUAUGAGUAAGGAAGACAUCCCUUCUCCUCCCCUCACCAGGUUCACUCCAGUACACAUCAUACCCCCGGCCCCAGCGAGGCCUCACGGCCACUGGGGAAACAGGAGUACCAGUCCCUCUGAGACCCAGGCCAUUGAGGCCAUAAUGGAGUCUGAGAACAUAAUGGAGUCUGUUAUAGAAGCUGUGACAUCCAGGGUAAGCCCCACUCUUUCCUCUGGUGACAGUAACAACAGGGCCUACAACUGCCAAACAUGCCUGGAAAUGCUGGAGAGGGAGGAGGGGGAGGAGGAGGAGGAGGAGGAGGAGAGGGAGAUGUUGUGGGAGAUGCAAGAGAGGGAUAGAGAGAGGCAGAGGGAAAGAGAAAGGAACAAGGAGAUGGAGGAGAGGGAGAGGGAGGAUGAGGAGAGGGAAAGAGGGAGGGAGAGGGAGAGAGAGGAAAGGGAGAGGGAGAGGGAGAGAGAGGAAAGGGAGAUACAGCGAGAGGAAGAAAGGGAGAGGGCAAUGGGGAGGGAGAGAGAAAGGGAGAGUGAGAGACAGGGGGAGGAGCGGGUGCCCCGAAAGGGGGAGGGGAAGCAGGAGGAAGCCAGUUACAAGGGGGAACAGGUUGACCUGUCAUUCAGUGCCAGGAAUAGAAACGGGCCUGCAAGCCACGAAGCAGCUCCCACAAGCAGAGAGAGUCGACAGGGAAUGCCAGCAGCGCGCUCCUAUUCAGAGAGCCUGCUCACCACCAGACUACAACAGAUACAACAGCUACAACAGCAACAACAGCAACAACAGCAACAACACGGUAUACUGCACAGAGCUGCACAAAGCUCCCAGCCAGAGACAGCCAGAGGAGGUGGACCGGGACCCACCAAGAAGUUGCAGCAAGAGCCCAAGCACAAGCCUGCGAUACCUCAGCUCGGGAGCUCCUUUCCUGGACGCAUCCCAGCCGACGGCCCCAGCUCCAGCAUGUGCAGUGAGCUGGAUGAGGAGGACAACGAGGUGAAGUGGUUCAGUGACGUGGCCUUCCGCAGCCUGUCCUCUGGAUCCCCUCAGGUGGACUACCUGGACAUGUACAACUCCAGCCACUGCUCCUCCACCGGAGCCUCCCAGCCUUCCAUCCAGGACAGCCCAGCGGUGGCUAAUGCAGCCUGGCUGGCCUAUGCUGACCUCAGAGGGUCUGCUCCACGGCUGGACAAUGAAGACUUCCCAGUCCCACGCCAGCAGCAGCAGCCCUCCUCUGGGGCUUAUUAUCCACCUCUCGACGGCCUGGACCCAUCCAAAAAAUAUGAGAUGGGCAGCUUCGAGUGUGUAGACGUGGCUGUGGAGAGAGAGGAACCCAAGAAGGUGAGGAGAGGAGUGCCCAAGAGACAGAUCCAGCUGAAGAGAAGGAAUAAGGCCGAGCUGAAGCUGGGUGAGAACAGCGAUGGUAGUCCCAUCAUGGUUCCUAGUCCUGUAAUGGUUCCUGUGGCUCCUGUGGUUACAAAGGACAGUCCUUCUCUACAGAGACACAACAGAGAGACGUUGCAGAGACAACACAGCACACCUGCUGCUUUGCAGGAAGCCUACCGCCCGGAACUCAGCCCUGAACCUGCCACUGAGCAGACCGAAAGGAAGGGCAAGCUCCAGAAGUCUUUGUCCCUUGACGAGACAUGUACCAAAACCAAGAUGGCCACUUGCCUGAUCAAGGGCAUCCUUUCCAAGAAGAUGCCAAAUGUUGGUAAACAAACCGAACAGGAAGGAGGAGGUGACCUCAGCCCCUCCAAGAACAAAACCCCUCCUCCUUCUGAGAGUGAAUUGUCAACCAUUAAAGAGUCCCCUAAACCAGAGACACAGAAUCUGAGUUCCAGUAUAAAUUCAGAAGACAGUCUUUCCUCUGAGGACCUGGCUAUGAGAAGAGAGACGAGCCCAAACACUGACGUAAACAGACAACAGAGAAGUUUCGGGGUGAAACCCAGUAUUAGACCAACAAACCGUACUAUUAAUAUUAACUCCACUUCUCCACUGCGAAACAACAAGAGACCUGAACCAACCUGCACAACCCCUGAGAUGAGUCCUGUUGCACGUUUUGCUCCAGUUACCUCUCCUCAGGGAAACAAUAUAAUUGAAUCUCACUGCAACAGAACCCCUAACCAUGUUAGCCCUUGGAUGAGGUCUGAGCCCCCUACUACUAGUUGUCCUCAGAGAAACAAUGACAGAAUUGAAUCUCCUGUCAGAAACCCAAACUCUUGGAGAACUGAACCGGUCAAACCAGAGAUGAGGUCUGAACUGGUGUUCCCGUUUGAAAGUACAAAACCCACAGAGAAGAACGCCAUGAUGGGAGUAAAGCAGACGCAUGGCAGUAAAUGUAGGCAUGAGAGGGAUGACAGUAAACAGAGGGAUGAGAAGGAUGACAAACAGGGAGGUGACUCAGCAGAUGCAGCUGCCUGGAACCCUGGCGUCCCUGCUGCCACUCGAGCCAACAGCACGCAGGCAGGAAUGACAAACGUAAAAAAGCUGGACUACCACUCUGACUCUGAAAACCAUAAACAUCCGAGCGUCAAGAGCACCUACACAUCCAAAACACCAGAGAUCACUCUGAAACCCAGCACUGCUACAGAGAAAAAGAAAACAUCUUCUCUAAACGUCUCACUGUCGCCCGAGCUGGAAACUAAACUUGAGGUUAAACACGAGACUGCCUCCCCUGGGAGGACCUGUCAGAGAGAAACAAGAGAAGAAGACAGGAGAGUGGAGACUUCACAUAGAGAAACCAGAGAAGAAGACAGGAGAGUGGAGACUUCAAAUAGAGAAUCCAGAGAAGAAGACAGGGGGAUAGGGACUUCACAUAGAGAAAAAAGAGAAGAAUACAGGAGAGUGGAGACUUCUCAUAGAGAAACCAUAGAAGAAGAGAAGGGAGUGAAGACCUUGAACAUGAUGAAUAAACAGACUGAGAAUGUGGAUGCCAAUAGGAAGGGUAAAGCCAAAGCUCCCCUGCACAAAGUGAGAGAUGUGAGAAGGCUGGUGAAAAACACAUACAACCUGUCAUUCAAGGCCAUGCCAACACCAGAGAAGGAGGAGAGGAGGGAGGAGAGUGUGGAGGAGAGGAGAGAGGAACAGGGAGAGGAUAGAAAAGAGGAGAGGAGGGAGGAUAGAUGUGAAGACAGGAAAGAGGAAAAGCCGAUGCCUCGUCCUCAGCCAAUGCAGAUAGAAUACAAAGCUGUCAGCUGGAGAGAAAACAAAAACAAAACAGGAACGUUCAACCAAACAGACAGAGAAAUGUCUAGAGGCAAACCUAAGGUUGAUUCUUUACAGCAGGUGUCCACAGAUACAACCAAAGUACCCAAGGACCCUUCUGAUGUAACAGCUAAGAGUUGCACAACAGAGGAAGUAGCUGUGACAGAGACUGAGUUAAACCAACACAAUACCCCUGUACAGGACACUGUCAAAACAGAAACAGGCAACACCAAGGUGAAACCCAGUGAUACAGAGUCACCGAGAGUAACCAGGAAACACCGAAGUGUAUCAGAGUGUAGUGACAAACCUGAAGUGGUGAGAAGAGAUACAAAGCCACCUAUGCUGGGCAGCAGCCCUAAACUCCCCAUUAAAGACAAAGACGUGUCUAGUGCUUCUCUGGUGCUACAGAAUGGAUCCAAUGAGCCCAAGUCAUUCUCAGCCUUAGCUCCAGCCUCCCCGGCCCUGACGUCUCCGGCUCCCUCCUGCCCUACUCCAGCCUCUCCAGCCCUGGUCCCAGUCCCAGCCUCCCCAGCUCCUGCCUCAUCCCCAGCCCCAGCUCCAACCCUGGUCUCCUCACCUGGUCGCAAAGCUUCACCAGCUCCAGUUUCUCCUCCAGCCCCAACCUCAUCCCCAGCUCCAGUUCUAGGCACUCCACAUUCUUCUGUCCCCACCAAGAUCCCCACCCCUACCCCCAGCCACUCCGUGUCCAUACUGGUUAAGGAGAAGGGCUACCAGGCAGAUAUUGGGUCUGUGGUCUCUGAGGCUGUGUCAGAGGAGAUAAGAAGGAGUGGGGGUGAAGGUGGAGGGGUUCCAAGGAAACAUAUCAACCAAAUAGAGAUCCCUCUUCAGACCCGUGGACCCUCAGAUGGGGGUACGAGUGACUCACACAGACAGAGAACCUACUCAUCCUCGUCUACAUCCUCUAUGCAAGCAGCCUCAUCCGCAUUAUCCUCAAGCACUGUGCAAGCAGCCUCAUCCUCAAGCACUGUGCAAGCAGCCUCAUCCGUGUCAUCCUCAAGCACUGUGCAAGCAGCCUCAUCCAUAUCAUCCUCAAGCACUGUGCAAGCAGCCUCAUCCGUGACAUCCUCAAGCACUGUGCAAGCAGCCUCAUCCGUAUCAUCCUCAAGCACUGUGCAAGAAGCGUCAUCCUUCUCCACAUCUUCCGUCAAUGCGUCAACCUCCGCAUCGUCUUCUGUGAAUGCAUCAACCUCAGCCUCAUCCGUUUCGUCAUCUUCCAUCAAUGCAUCAGUCUCUUCCUCUCAUACCCAUUCGGUCCCAAAUUCUCCCAGGCUUCGAAGAGUCUCCGCUCAAACUGAUGACAGAGUUAGGACCACUUUUAAUCAGGAAAGGAUUAGUGUCAGAGCCACAGUCAGAGACAUAGAGCAACGCACGGCAUCAUCACCACCACCGCCACAGAAGAAAACACAAGAAGACACUGCUGAAAAGGAGACAGUGAAGAAAUCAUCCUACUCACCUAAGUUACCAGGUUCGCUACCAGGCUCACCAGCACUGAUGAGAAGAUACCGACCACAAGUGAUCGAGGUGAGGUCGUUGUCUAAAGAAAUACAUAAACAAGAUAAACAAGAGAAGACCGUCACGUCAAGCACCAGACCGCAAACUAUAGAGGUUCACUCAAUAGCCAACGGCCCACCAGUGGCACCAAAACCAAAGUUCAAACCGACAGAUGCAAAUUCACUGUCCAGUGAAACACAGCAGAAACCAGCGGAGGCAACAUCAAGCUUCAAACAGCACACAGAAGAGGAGAGAGCUGUGCCCAAUGAGAAACCAUCAACUUCAGCUACAACGAUCCACAGACAUCUAUCGAACGAUUCGACCCCAGCGUCUAACUAUAAUAAAAAGUUAUCAGUUUCUGCAGUGUCCAGCUACAGGCCUUCACCUACCAAAACAACAAUCAUCGCUAGUUUCUCUCACAAAACAGCAUCAACAACAGUAGACACAGAGACAUCCAAUGAAAGGCCAAAUCAACCAGGGGCUUCAACCCAGGGACAAGGACAGGCCCCCAGCUACACACAGAGACCCACAACCCUCACAGUCUCAGCCCCAGCUCCAGCUCCAGCCUCAGCUCCUACCCACGCCCCNUCUCUUCAGAAAGAGGAAAAGCUACCACCUCACCCAAUAUCUCUUCAGAAAGAGGACAAGCUACCACCUCACCCAAUAUCUCUUCAGAAAGAGGACAAGCUACCACCUCACCCAAUAUCUCUCCAGAAAGAGGAAAAGCCGAUGCAGAUGGAAUUCAAAGCUAUCAGCUGGAGAGAAAACAAAAACAAAACAACAACAAUGUCCAACAAAACAGAGAGAGAAACGUCUAGAGGCGAACCUAAGCCGGUGUCCAAAGGACCCCGGAACCUCUCUGAUGUAGCACCUAAGAGUUGCGCAACAGAGGAAGUAGCUGUGACAGAGACAGAGUCAAACCAACACAAGACCCCUGUAAAGGACACUGUCAAAACAGAACCAAGCAACACCAAGGUGAAACCCAGUGAAACAGAGUCACUGAGAGUAACCAGGAGACACCGAAGUAUAUCAGAGGCUAGUGACAAACCUGAAGUGGUGAGAAGAGAUACCAAGCCACCUAUGCUGGGCAGCAGCCCUAAACUCCCCAGUAAAGACAGAAGAGUGUCUUGUGCUUCUCUGGUGCUACAGGAUGGAUCUAAUAAGCCCAAGUCAUUCUCAGCCUUAGUUCCUGCCUGUUCCCCAGGUCCAGCUCCAGCAUUCCCAGCCCCAGCUCCAAUCCUGGCCUCCUCACCCUCACUUGGUCCCAAAGCUUCGCCAGCCCCAGCUUCUCCUCCAGCACCAGCUUCAUCCCCAGUUCUAGGCACUCCACCUUCCACUGUCCCCAUCAAGACCCCUACCCCCAGCCACUCUGUGUCCAUACUGGUGAAGGAGAAGGGCUACCAGGCAGAUAUUGGGUCUUUGGUCUCUGAGGCUGUGUCAGAGGCCAUAACAAGGAGUGGGCGUGAAGGUGGGGGUGGAGGUGGAGGCGUCCCAGGGAAACAUAUCAACCAAAUAGAGAUCCCUCUUCAGACCCGUGGACCCUCAGAUGGGGGUACGAGUGACUCACACAGACAGAGAACUUACUCGUCCUCUUCUUCAUCCUAUGUGAAAGCAGCCUCAUCCGUAUCAUCCUCAAGCACUGUGAAAGAAACCUCAUCCUUCUCCUCGACCUCUGUCAAUGCAUCAACUUCAGCCUCAUCCUUUUCCUCAUCUUCCGUCAAUGCAUCAGCCUCUUCCUCACAUACCCAUUCGGCCCCAAAUUCUCCCGGGCUUCGAAGAGACUCUGCUCAAACGGAAGACAGUGUUAGGACCCCUUCGAAUCAGGAGAGGGUUAGUGUCAGAGCCACGGUCAGAGACAUAGAGCAACGCACGACAUCAUCACCACCACCCUCACAGAAGAAAACACAGGAAGACACUGCUGAAAAAGAGACGGUGAAGAAAUCAACCUACUCACCUAAGUUACCAGGCUCGCUACCAGGCUCACCAGCACUGAUGAGAAGAUACAGACCACAAGUGAUCGAGGUGAGGUCGUUGUCCAAAGAAAUACAUAAACAAGAUAAACAAGAGAAGAACAUCACGUCAAACACCAGACCGCAAGCUAUAGAGGUUCACUCAAUAUCCAACGGUCCGCCACUGGCACUGAAACCAAAGUUCAAACCGACAGAUGCAAAUUCACUGUCCAAUGAAAUACAGCAGAAAUCCGUGGAAGCACCAACAUCAACCUUCAAACAGAACACAGAAGAGGAGAGACCUGUGAACAAUGAGAAACCAUCAACUUCAGCUACGACUAUCCACAGACAUCUAUCGAAUAAUUCGACCCCAGCGUCUAACUACAAUAAAAAGUUAUCAGUUUCUGCAGUGUCUAGCUACAGGCCUUCACCUACCAAAACAACAAUCAUCGCUAGUUUCUCUCACAAACCACCAUCAACAACAGUAGACACAGAGACAUCCAAUGAAAGGCCAAAGCAACCAGAGGCCUCAACCCAGGGACAAGGAGAGGCCCCCAGCUACACACAGAGACCCACAACCCUCACAGUCUCAGCCCCAGCUCCAGCCCCAGCUCCGAACCAAGCCCCUGCUGCCCCAGAUCCUGCCCAAGUCCCUACCCAUGCCCCUGCCCAAGUCCCUACCAAUUCCCCUGCCAUACACUCAAGCCAGUCAGCUGAUGUGGAUAUAACCAACCACCUGCAGCAUCCAAAAACAAAAACAGCAUACCCUCAGGAGCAAACUAUGCCGGUUACCUUCAACAAUACAAACCAACCUGCCACGGUAUCCACAAACACACAGGCUCCCGUAUACACACACCACAUACACACACAGCAGCCCAUACACAGAUCCUUGUCUAGCGACCACUCGCAGAGGGCAGACGACCUGCGUUUCUACGCAUCAGAUGACCCCCCUAGUUAUGACGAGAGAGAGAGGUUCAGCCCCCUCCACCUACCUGACCUGCCCCAGAGGAAGCUGAACCGCUACCACCCCUCCUCUCCCUUCUCCUCUGCCUCCUCCCGUCCCCCUCCCUGCUCCUGCACCUCUGGCUGCCCCUCCCACGGCCUUACACCCCAUCACCACCACCACUCCCCCCACACCCCUCCCUUCCCCUCCCCCUCCCACUCCCCUGGUCAACCUCCUCUCCGCCUACACCAGUGCAGAGCGGAUCCCCAUUCUCUGAGAUCAAUCGGCUACCAGCCCAGCUCUCCCAAAUCAUCCAACCUCCCCAGCCCCACUCAGCCCCCUCCAGGCAUGUACCAGUCCCUCCACCAACCCCACCCCUCCAUACUCCAGCCCUGCCUGGCUGACCGCCCUCUCCAGCACCCCCAACACAUGGAACCCCGCCGGGCCCCCACUCUCCACCGCUCCCCCCAGGGCCAGCCAUCUGUCUCCGGGGGCCCCUACAGUGACCACAGCCACUCUCCCAACCUGCCCCCUAUGGACCCUCAGUACUUGUGCAGCUCACAGAGCCUAGGGCCAUCCUAUGGAUCUGAUUAUGGGAGUCUGUCUGGGUCUGACUACCCAGACAGUACAGGUGGUCUGGGGUACGGGCAAACCCCUCGCAGGGUCCUCAUGGAUCCUGACACGGGGAAGUAYUUCUACAUUGAGGUGCCUGUGCAGCCACUGAGGAAGAUGCUGUUUGAUCCAGAGACGGGCCAGUACGUGGAGGUGCUCAUCCCUCAGAGUACCAUGUCUCACUCAGGACUUUACCCUCCUUUGGCCGCUCCCUACUCCACUGCCUCAGCGGCCCCCUACUCUUCCAUCCACAACCCCAAUAUAUAUGCCCCAGCCCCCCAGUACCUCCCCUAUGGCCCCCCUCCUCCUGCACCUCAUCCCCAGCCCCAGCCACCCCGCCACCCAGAGGCUCCAGUCCCAGGGACGAUGCACCAGAAUGGGGCUCAGGUCGGCUACGGGAGCCCCGGGAGCCAGGGGUCCAAGCCGGAGCCCCAGAGUCAUGCACCUCUGGACCAGAGCUACCUGGAUAGCAUGUACUACGUCCCUACAGGCAUGAACACUAGUCCCCCGGACUGCUACCACAAACAACUCUCCAGUCUGCCCAACGCGGGGGGGAAGAGGGCCUGAAAUAGUCGUCUUCCUGGUGCCUGUAGGGUCUCGGAAUACAGCCAGGCCAGGGUGUACACGAGGAGGUCUAAUGUUAGACUCAGGCCUUAUUGUUAACUUUGUUUCCCUGGCAACUGGACUGGAGAGAAUGAUUCUUUAAUUGUGGUUGUUUGUUGUUUUAUUUUUUUGUUGUUUAUGUUCUUCACUGCUUUUUAUUAGUCUGAUUGCCUGAUUAUGUUUGAUUUUUAUGCAUUGAUUUGGUAAGAGAAAAAACAUGAUCAUGUUGAAGGUCCUUGAUGAUCUUUCUGGGAUUUCGACAAACCAAACUGUGACAAUUUUCUACUGGAUACCUAACAGCCAAAAGGUGUGCCUCAUCCAUUCUCAUAGAUUGUUCAUUAAAUCUAAACAAACACUUACUGUUCGCAUUUACAUUACAUGUAGAAACAUGUUCCAACUGAUCAUGCACAUGCAUAAAUCUAAUAUUUGAAAUAAAUUCACAUUGUAUUAAUUCUAAUAUCUCCCAAAAACUUGAAACUGCAAUCUUGGGAAGAUCUCAUGUAUGUCAUGUUUCUCUCUGUUUAUUUCUGAAUGAGUAGGUUUUGUUCACAGAGCAGAUGCAAUGACACCAAUAAAAAUGUGUCAAAUAUUGAAUGUAAUAAAACUACUGUAGAAUGGCCUGGUCUGUUCUGCCUUCAUAUUUCUGAAUAGAUAACCUACAUACAGUGGGGCAAAAAAAGUAUUUAGUCAGCCACCGAAUUGUGCAAGUUCUCCCACUUAAAAAGAUGAGAGAGGCCCGUAAUUUUCAUCAUAGGUACACUUCAACUAUGACAGACAAAAUGAGAAACAAAAAUCAAGAAAAUCACAUUGUAGGAUUUUUUAUGAAUUUAUUUGCAAAUUAUGGUGGAAAAUAAGUAUUUGGUCACCUACAAACAAGCAAGAUUUCUGGCUCUCACAGACCUGUAACUUCUUCUUUAAGAGGCUCCUCUGUCCUCCACUCGUUACCUGUAUUAAUGGCACCUGUUGGAACUUGUUAUCAUUAUAAAAGACACCUGUCAACAACCUCAAAC
rnacentral:lncRNA from 1 species